UGAGGAAUAUUGCGCAAUGGGCGAAAGCCUGACGCAGCGACGCCGCGUGGAGGAUGAAGGUCUUCGGAUUGUAAACUUCUGUUAAGUGGGAAGAAAGAGCCGUUUUUAAUAGAGACGGUAAAUGACGGUACCAUUAAAGAAAGCACCGGCUAAACUCGUGCCAGCAGCCGCGGUAAUACGAGUGGUGCAAGCGUUAUUCGGAAUAAUUGGGCGUACAGGGUGUGUAGGCGGCAUGUUAAGUCUGUUGUUAAAUUCUCCAGCCUAACUGGAGACAGGCAGCGGAAACUGGCGUGCUAGAGGGUGGAAGAGAGAAGUGGAAUUCUCGGUGUAGCGGUAAAAUGCGUAGAUAUCGAGAGGAACACCGAUGGCGAAGGCAGCUUCUUGGUCCAUUCCUGACGCU
rnacentral:rRNA from 1 species